UUACCUUCCGGGAAGGGAGGAGGGCCGUCGCGGACUGAGUGGGCGGGACGGGUCGGAGGUAACCGACGUCGGGCGAACCUACGCCCCGCCGACUGGGGACGAACAGCUCGGAAACGGCGUGCUAAUACCGCAUAAGCGCACAGCUUCGCAUGAAGCGGUGUGAAAAACUCCGGUGGUGCGGGAUGGGCCCGCGUCUGAUUAGCUGGUUGGCGGGGUAACGGCCCGACCAAGGCAACGAUCAGUAGCCGGCCUGAGAGGGUGGACGGCCACCAUUGGGACUGAGACACGGCCCAGACUCCUACGGGAGGCAGCAGUGGGGAAUAUUGCACAAUGGGGGAAACCCUGAUGCAGCGACGCCGCGUGAGCGAAGAAGUAUUUCGGUAUGUAAAGCUCUAUCAGCGGGAAAGAAAAUGACGGUACCUGACUAAGAAGCUCCGGCUAAAUACGUG
rnacentral:rRNA from 1 species